UACAUUAAAUAACACACACAAUAAACACACACGCUCAAGACAGGUCAAAUACAAAAGCAUAUAUUAUAACAAAAAAAUUCAAUUCAGUUUGGGUUCAGUUUAGAAUUAUUGAAAAAGCACAAAAGAAAAGAAAACCACUUAGGCUACUCACUCUCACGACCCUGUUAGUCAUUCAGUUGGCCAGUCUAGUCCAGUCAGCCUGGAAAUCCUCAUCGACGCUGUCCUCUUGAAAGAUUUCAAGGAUCCUCUUCUGCUGUUGACAGCUUCACUGCAGUGGGAUAGCAUGGCUUUAGUUGGGCCACAUUUACGACACGGAUGUCCUCUCCUCACCUCAAAUUUAAGAGGUCCAACUCUCUUGGUCACCGGAUACUGACAUUUCCACCGUGGAGCCAGCUUUGCUGGAAAUGACUGGUUGCAAAAUGUUUGGGAAGGUAGUUCAGUUAUGUAUGCAGGACAGUGUGGACCACAUAACUGGACUCAACUCCACAUCAAGAGGCCUUUUCAAUGGGCGGCAGAGGUUGAGUUUGGCAGGGGUGCCUCCUUAGGACUGAUGUACUGCUGUGUUGAGUGCAAACCUGAAUUUGGGUUUCCUCAAAGUCAGACGACAUAAACUGAGAGCCUUGGUUGGACAGAAUGAAAGUGAAGAUUCCCCAGUAUGUCAGGAUCUCUUUCCUGAAAACUUGAGAUAGCGUCUCUGCAGUGGUUGUCCAAAGUGGGAACAUGUCAACCCAUCGGCUAGUCUUCCACAAAAAUCAGGUAACUAUUGCCAUUUGAGCUCCGCAGGAAGGGACAUAUUAUAUCAACCCCAAACAUCUCCCAUGGUGCAUUUAUCACUGUUUGCUGGAGUUAAGCUGGAGGUUUUCUGGUUUCAGGACUCCCUCACAUCAAAGCUCAUCUUUGACCACUAUGUCAGAGCCUGUAACCGUUUGUAAGUUUUAUACCUUCCAAGAUGGCCAGAUAGAGGUUCAUCGUGAUAACAGUAGAGCAGCUCUUGUUGGAGAGAGGUUGAUAUGAUGAUGAUGAUGAGAUCUGGUAGAGGGUUAUAGUGGGGCAAGUGCACUACUCUGUACAGUUUGUCCUUCGGAACAGUGAACUGUGUGGUUGAACUCUCAGUGAUUUCUCCUGUUUCCAUUAUUUUUUCAUAAAGAUCCUGUAUGGCAGAGUCCUCCUGCUGAGCUUUCCAAAUUUCUGCAUCUGUGAUGUGGAGGUUCUUGGACAGCAAGGCAUUCCUGUUCAGUUGUGGAGUAGUUACACUCUGCCUGAUUGAAAGUUCAGCUGGCAAAAGCAAGGACCUGCUCUGCCCCCAAUCCAGUAUGCUGAACCAUGCUGUUGUUCCAGUAUACAAAGCAGAUCCUUCCAUGCAGGUCUCCAAGGACAAACUCUAUCAGCCGUUGAAAUGUUGUCAGGGUGUUUUUUUGUCCCAACAGCAUUACCUUAAACUAGUAGAGGCCAAGGGGACAGAUGAAGUCGGUUUGCUCAAGACUGUCUUUAUCCAU